CGUCUAGGCGGAUCGGUAAGUCGGCUGUGAAAUCCCUCGGCUCAACCGAGGACGUGCAUCCGAUACUGCCGGUCUUGAGGGCGAGAGGGGAGAGUGGAACUCCUGGUGGAGCGGUGAAAUGCGUAGAUAUCAGGAGGAACGCCGGUGGCGAAAGCGACUCUCUGGCUCGUCCCUGACGCUGAAGCGCGAAAGCUAGGGGAGCGAACG
rnacentral:rRNA from 1 species